rnacentral:rRNA from 1 species
GACGAACGCUGGCGGCGUGCUUAACACAUGCAAGUCGAACGGAAAGGCCCUGCUUUUGUGGGGUGCUCGAGUGGCGAACGGGUGAGUAACACGUGAGUAACCUGCCCUUGACUUUGGGAUAACUUCAGGAAACUGGGGCUAAUACCGGAUAGGAGCUCCUGCUGCAUGGUGGGGGUUGGAAAGUUUCGGCGGUUGGGGAUGGACUCGCGGCUUAUCAGCUUGUUGGUGGGGUAGUGGCUUACCAAGGCUUUGACGGGUAGCCGACCUGAGAGGGUGACCGGCCACAUUGGGACUGAGAUACGGCCCAGACUCCUACGGGAGGCAGCAGUGGGGAAUAUUGCACAAUGGGCGGAAGCCUGAUGCAGCAACGCCGCGUGCGGGAUGUCGGCCUUCGGGUUGUAAACCGCUUUCGCCUGUGACGAAGCGUGAGUGACGGUAAUGGGUAAAGAAGCACCGGCUAACUACGUG